rnacentral:lncRNA from 1 species
CCAAACCCUUAAUUAAUAAACCGAGUAACCCCAUAAGCCAUUAUAACACGUCGUGGCUGAGGGCUACAGGAAUCGGCGACUGGACUGGCCGGCGAGGAACGCCUCAACGGCGUUGGGCUCGGCCGGCGAUUACUGGAACUGCCGGCAGUGGGUGCUGGGCUGUGGUGGCUUUUCUGUUUUCGCACUUCUGCUUCUCUCUUCGUUAGAAUUCGGGCGAGAGAGGUAAAGGAUGUGAAGCUGUGGUGGCGGCACAAAUUUGUGUUCACUGCGUUGAGCUUUUGUGUGUUGUUGGCGGCGGGCUGUCGAAUUCAGUUGAAGGGAGAUUGGGUGGAGGCUCGGCUGAAUGGAGGUUUGGUCGCGGUAUGGAUUUGGCUUGGUUAAUAUUGGCAGUGUGUUAGUUUGUUGACAGGAAGGAAAGCAUGACCAUGACCGAAACGAUUGGAAGUCCUUAACUCAGAGUAGGAGCAGACGCAGAGGUCAGGUUCUACAGCAAGACUUCAUCGGUUUAGUGAGUAUAGGGCAACCGGAAAAAUUUGUUUUGUUGCAGUGAAAAUUCUCAAGUUUAGCUCUGAUACCAAA